rnacentral:lncRNA from 1 species
UGAAGGCCUCCCAGGAAGGGAUCAGCUAUAAAAAGGACCCCAGAGAACUUUGCCUUGAAGAAGAGCAGUGCCUGUCCCAGGGUAGAGGCAGGCCUGACUGCCCACAACAGCAGGAACAGAAGGGCCCGGUGCCAGCAUAGACAGGCUCUGCUGUGAGACACAGGUGCUCCCAGGAUCCUCCUACAGUGCCACCUCUGGAAAUCCCUGUUCUCUGAUCAAACAGAGACCACUGAGGGGGUGAAAAGGAGACAGACAGAGAGCUGCUGCUUUUUACAAUAAACUCUGUAUUGUGCACAUGAAGACCUGGAGAUGUGCCGACUUCCUGUCCCCAAAGCCAAUCUUCCCCGCCAAGGCGACUGAGGAUUUCAAGGGCUCAGAGUUACUGCAGGAAUCCAGGUGAGGAAACUGAGGCUCGUUACUGACUUGCCCAAGAUUCCACAGUGGAAGAGCCUGGACGUGAACUGCGUCUCCAGGUCUCGAACCAUUUCCUGUCCUGGUCCCAGGACCUAGGUGGGGCCGCCGCGCGGUCAGACAGAGCCGGCCCGCCUGGGACCCCUUGGCUGCCCUCGCCCCCCGGCCCCGCCCCCCGCAC